CCUACGGGGGGCAGCAGUAGGGAAUAUUGCUCAAUGGGGGAAACCCUGAAGCAGCAACGCCGCGUGAAGGAUGACGGUUUUCGGAUUGUAAACUCCUUUUGUUAGAGAAGAUAAUGACGGUAUCUAACGAAUAAGCACCGGCUAACUCCGUGACAGCUGCCGCGGUAAAACGGAGGGUGCAAGCGUUACUCGGAUUCUCUGGGCGUAAAGAGCGCGUAGGCGGGUUAGCAAGUCAGAUGUGAAAUCCUAUGGCUUAACCAUAGAACUGAAUUUGAAACUGGUAGUCUAGAGUAUGGGAGAGGUAGGUGGAAUUCUUGGUGUAGGGGUAAAAUCCGUAGAGAUCAAGAAGAAUACUCAUUGCGAAGGCGACCUGCUAGAACAUAACUGACGCUGAUGCGCGAAAGCGUGGGGAGCAAACAGGAUUAGAUACCCUUGUAGUC
rnacentral:rRNA from 1 species